ACCCUUGUGGAGGAGGACGCCGAAGGUGGGGCUAAUGACUGGGGUGAAGUCGUAACAAGGUAGCCGUACCGGAAGGUGCGGCUGGAUCACCUCCUAACAGGGAGACAACAAAAUGUUUAAUAUUAUUAUUUUGUCACCUUAGGUCGAUCGGUACCUCACGUUCUUAAUUUAUUAAGAAUUUCACUUCCUAAGUUUUUCUAGGUCACACCCAUUAUUUUUCCUGGGCCAUUAGCUCAGGUGGUUAGAGCGCACCCCUGAUAAGGGUGAGGUCCCUGGUUCAAGUCCAGGAUGGCCCAUAUCUCUAUGUUGGGGGUAUAGCUCAGUUGGUAGAGCGCCUGCUUUGCAAGCAGGAUGUCAGCGGUUCGAGUCCGCUUACCUCCACUGAUUACCACCUCUUUCAUAUUCUGUGGAAAGGAAAUUUUUUGAGUUGUGCUUAAAUUCUGAACGAAUCUAGCUUCCUAAUGUAAUCAUUAAGAUGCUGGACUCAUUGAAUUAAUUUCAUUGUUUUCAGAGAACCUUGACAACUGCAUAGAUUAUUUAAAAGACAAUAAGCAUCUUGAAUGAUGCAGAUUUAUUAUUUGUGCGAAUGCAUUAAUAACAAUUCUAUUAAGCUGAUGCUUCAAUUUUGAAGUUAUUGGUCAAGCUACAAAGGGCUCACGGAGGAUACCUAGGCACACAGAGGCGAUG
rnacentral:misc_RNA from 1 species